GCCUUCGUAGUGUAAUGGUCGGCACGCUCGGCGCGUAAGCGAGAGGUCCGAGGUUCGAGUCCCUGCGAGGGCA
rfam:Stegodyphus mimosarum contig38163, whole genome shotgun sequence.